rnacentral:lncRNA from 1 species
CUUGGCUGUCACUGCCUUGGAGAAACCUGACCUCUCUACUUGCUCGAAGCCCCUAAGAUGUGGUCCCAUAGCAUCAGAACCUAGUGUGGUGGCUGGCAGAGAGCAAGGACUGAAGAAUGUUGGUUGAAAGGGUGAAGGAACGACGGAUGGAUGCCCUUCCUAAAUAGUAGGGGCGACACGCGCGAACGGAUCCGUGGCAUCCCGGCGUUAUGUCUCAGUGACAGCCAUGGCUGCUGGAGCGUUGCAGCCAGGGCUGGGGCAUCAUGAUGCUUCCGUGUUUCAUGCCGCAUUCUAAAGGCUGCUGUGUGACAUCAGAGCCACCGGAUGCAUGCACACAGAGAGGUGUCCUGCGGAUGGCAGAUGCUUCCUCUUCCAAAGGACUCAGCUCUGAUGUGCCUUCUGAGAGGUGCCGCAGAGACCUUGGCAUGUGCCUCCCACGGCCCUUCCAUCACCGCUCCACUGCACAGAUCGCCUGCAGUGUGUCACUUAUUUUCAAGUCUGACAGUAAGCCCCUGCAGACCAGAUGCCACAUCUUCCCACAGGUGCGCCCCAAGUGUCUAAAGCAGUGCCUAGGACCUUGCUAAUGCCCAGUAGAUGUUUGCCGGGAUGGAUGUGAUACCCCAAACUCCUUGUUAGCUGUUGCCUCUUUCUCUGUUGCAAACACAGCUUCCAUGUCCGGAUCUCGAGGGCCGGUCCCACAUCACAAACGUGUUUUCUUUCCCUCCUUCUCCUUUCCUCACCAUGUAGGUGUCCUUUCUCCAACCUCUCUGUUGGGAGAAAAUUCUCUCUUGUGUCACAUCUUGAAUUUUUCUUCCCUCUAUGUCCUCUUAACACCGGGCUUGCCAGGCAGCGCCUGUAAUCCCAGCACUUUGGGAGGCUGAGGCGGGUGGAUCCCGAGGUCAGGAGUUCGAGACCAGCCUGGCCAAUAUGGUGAAACCCCGUCUCUACUAAAAAUACAAAAAUUAGCCGGGCAUGGUGGCGCGCACCCGUAGUCCCAGCUACUCAGGAGGCUGAGGCAAAAGAAUCUCUUGAACCUGGGAGGCGGAGGUUGCAGUGAGCCAGGUCGUACCACUGUACUUCAGCCUGGGUGACAGAGUGAGACUGUGUUUCA